AAGAUUGUAGUUUAUUUAAAAUAUUAAAUUGUAAAUUUAAAGUUUUAUAAUCUUG
rnacentral:tRNA from 1 species